UCUGGGCACCAUUAGCGAGCUUAAGCAAGCGAUGUUUUUGACAACACGAACGUUGACCGGAAGCAAAUUUGACGUUAUCAACAAUCAACAUUCUUGACCCAGUCUUUUAACGUUACUCAUGUCGUUCGUGUUGUCAAAAACGUUGCUUGCUUAAGCUCGCUAUUUUCUUAGC